rnacentral:rRNA from 1 species
CCUACGGGAGGCAGCAGUGAGGAAUAUUGGUCAAUGGGCGCGAGCCUGAACCAGCCAAGUAGCGUGAAGGAUGACUGCCCUACGGGUUGUAAACUUCUUUUAUAAAGGAAUAAAGUGAGGUACGUGUGCCUUUUUGUAUGUACUUUAUGAAUAAGGAUCGGCUAACUCCGUGCCAGCAGCCGCGGUAAUACGGAGGAACCGAGCGUUAUCCGGAUUUAUUGGGUUUAAAGGGAGCGUAGAUGGGUUGUUAAGUUAGUUGUGAAAGUUUGGGGCUCAACCGUAAAAUUGCAAUUGAUACUGGCAGGCUUGAGUGCAGUUGAGGUAGGCGGAAUUCGUGGUGUAGCGGUGAAAUGCGUAGAUAUCACGAAGAACUCCGAUUGCGAAGGCAGCUUACUAAACUGCCACUGACAUUGAGGCUCGAAAGUGUGGGGAUCAAACAGGAUUAGAUACCCCAGUAGUC